rnacentral:rRNA from 1 species
GAUGAACGCUGGCGGCGUGCCUAAUACAUGCAAGUCGAGCGAACAGACGAGGAGCUUGCUCCUCUUACGUUAUCGGCGGACGGGUGAGUAACACGUGUAUAACCUCCCUAUAAGACUGUGAUAACUUCGGGAAACCGGAGCUCAUACCGGAUAAUAUAUUUAACCUCAUGUUUCAAUAUUGAAAGACGGUUUUGCUUUCACUUCUAGAUGGUUCCGCGCCGCAUUAGCUAGUUGGUAAGGUAACGGCUUACCAAGGCAACGAUGCGUAGCCGACCUGAGAGGGUGAACGGCCACACUGGAACUGAGACACGGUCCAGACUCCUACGGGAGGCAGCAGUAGGGAAUCUUCCGCAAUGGGCGAAAGCCUGACGGAGCAACGCCGCGUGAGUGAUGAAGGUCUUCGGAUCGUAAAACUCUGUUAUUAGGGAAGAACAAAUGUGUAAGUAACUAUGCACGGAUUGACGGUACCUAAGCAGAAAGCCACGGCUAACUACGUG